rnacentral:rRNA from 1 species
UGUGAAGGAAAGGUGAAAAGGACCCCGGGAGGGGAGUGAAAGAGAACCUGAAACCUUGUGCCUACAAGCACAUAGAGCCCGUCAAAGGGUGAUAUGGUACUUUUUGUAGAACGGUCCGGCGAGCGAUUGUACGUUGCGAGCUUAAGGUCUUAAGGACUGGAGGCGUAGCGAGAGCGAGUCUAAACAGGGCGUUUAGUAGCGUGCAAUGGGCCCGAAACCGGGUGACCUACCCAUGAUCAGGCUGAAGUGAAAGUAAAAUUUCAUGGAGGGCCGAACCGACCUCCGUUGAAAAGGCGGCGGAUGAAUUGUGGGUAGCGGAGAAAUUCCAAUCGAACUCGGAGAUAGCUGGUUCUCCCCGAAAUAGCUUUAGGGCUAGCCUCAUGUUAGAUAUCCGGAGGUAAAGCACUGAAUGGCCUAGCGUCCGAGAGGAUAGCGAAGCCUAUCAAACUAAGAAUGCCGGAAUAUUGAUGCAUGGGAGUCAGACAGUGUGAGAUAAAUCUCAUUGUCAAAAGGGAAACAGCCCAGAUCUACAGCUAAGGUCCCAAAUUGUAUCUAAGUGGAAAACGAUGUGGAAAUACGCAGACAACCAGGAUGUUGGCUCAGAAGCAGCCACUCAUUUAAAGAGUGCGUAAUAGCUCACUGGUCGAGCGUCUCUGCGCGGAAAAUUUAACGGGGCUAAGAUACAAACCGAAGCUUAGGCUGCACUUUUGGUGCGGGGUAGGGGAGCGUUGUGUAAGCGGAGAAACAGUAGCGGAAGCGGCUGUGGAGUUUACAGAAGUGAGAAUGCCGGAAUGAGUAGCGCGAAUGAUGUGAGAAUCAUCAUGGCCGGAAACCUCAGGUUUUUGGAGGAAGGUUCGUCCGCUCCAAGUUAGGCGGGAGCUAAGGUGAGGCCGAAAGGCGUAGCCGAUGCACAGACGGUAGAGAUUCCGUCCCCACCGAAAGAUUUAAGCGCAGGGACACUUUUAGAAGGUCGGAGCCAGGUGUUGGUUCUGGUAGAGAUCGAGGGAAAAUUAGUACCGAAGUCCGGCUGGAUAAGAGGCGAGAAAAGCUGCGUGUAUAUCUAAGGUGCCCGUACCGCAAACCGACACAGGUAGGUAGGAAGAAGAUUCUAAGGCCAACGGGAGAAGGGUUGUUAAGGAACUCGGCAAGUUGACCCCGUAACUUCGGAAUAAGGGGUGCUCAUGAAAGUGAGCCGCAGAGAAUAGGCCCAGGCAACUGUUUACCAAAAACACAGGUUUGUGCUAAAUCGAAAGAUGACGUAUACGAGCUGACGCCUGCCCGGUGCUGGAAGGUUAAGAGGAGAUGUGCAAGCAUUGAAUCGAAGCCCCAGUGAACGGCGGCCGUAACUAUAACGGUCCUAAGGUAGCGAAAUUCCUUGUCAGGUAAG